AUUGAACGCUGGCGGCAGGCCUAACACAUGCAAGUCGAACGGAGUGGCGGACGGGUGAGUAAUGUCUGGGAAACUGCCUGAUGGAGGGGGCUAACUACUGGAAACGGUAGCUACUACCGCAUACUAUCAGAUGUGCCGAGGUUGGAUUAGCUUGUUGGUGGGGUAAAGGCGUACCAAGGCGACGAUCCGUAACUGGUCUGAGAGGAUGAUCAGCCACACUGGAACUGAGACACGGUCCAGACUCCUACGGGAGGCAGCAGUGGGGAAUAUUGGACAAUGGGCGAAAGCCUGAUCCAGCCAUGCCGCGUGUGUGAAGAAGGUCUUCGGGUUGUAAAGCACUUUAAGUUGGGAGGCGUUACCAACAGAAGAAGCACCGGCUAACUUCGUGCCAGCAGCCGCGGUAAUAC
rnacentral:rRNA from 1 species